UGAUCUUCCCUUUUCCAAACCCACAGAGCACCCUGCACCAUGGCAGGGCAGCACAGGGCUCAGGGAUGGCAUCAGCAGCCAGCCCCAAAUGCCCCCCACAGGUGUCCUGCAUCCCUGCUGCCGCCCGAGGCUCAGCUGCCGGCGGUUGCAGGGUGCUGCCGCCUCAGGCUCCCGUGAUUAAGUUGCCAGCAGCUGAUUGCAUCCCUUCCCAGCCCUGUGACAACAGGUAGAGGGAGAGGGAAGCUCUGGGGGCUCUGGCUGGUGGCUGGGCUGUGCCUGGAGCUGAGUCCCUGCCUUGCCCACGACCUGGUGAUGCCGAGGGCUGCGAGCAGGAUGGCUUCUCCUGCAGCCCAAGAGGCGCAGGGUGCGUUUAACCCCCGCCGCAGUACUUCCACACGCUUUGCUGUAAUCUCCAGAAUAUACGAUCGCCUCUAAACAAUAUCUGCAGCGCCCCUGGCCCUGGCUGUGUCCUGUGUCUGCUGCAUCUGCCUGCGAGGAGCAGCGAGGACCCUGCCGAGAGAGGACUGGGUAUCACCAAAGUGUUGCCUGUCUUCUCAGUGAAAAAAACACCGUAACACAGGAAGAAGUAAUGAACUUGCUCACAGAACUUGCACAGAUGGGAAAAGUCACCCAGAAGAAUUUCCUAUUCUCUGCAAAUUGGCCUAGAAAUCUAGUCAUCUCGGGAACUGCAACUGCUUGUCUCUUCUCUGGAGUCUUUAUAAUUCACUGCAGCAAAUCUCUUGGGGUGGUUUUCUUUGCAUUUUCACUUGAACUGUGAAAGGUUGGACUAAGUAUUUGCAAAAAGAGAGUGUCUUAGGGCAAUGUUCUCUAGCACACCAGCAGCUUUUUCAGAUGUUGUUCUGUCUUGUUUUACCUGUUUUACUAGUAUCUGUAGGCAACACUUUCUGGGCAACAUAUUGAAAAUUGCCUUCAGCCUGAUAAGAAAAAUGAAAUGAGAACUCUGUCUCUUUUUUAUCAUGGUCCUUUAGAAUGCAGUUCCCACUUUGUACCACAAUUGAUAACCAACAGCAAGAUCUGCUGCAAUGCCAUGGUCAGUCUCCUUCUGUUGGCCAAGGAGACAGGUUUGUCUGGAAGAACCUUGGAAACCCUAAGAAAUGCACUCUCUAAAAAAAAAAUAUUACUUUAAUUACUGGACUGGGUCCAGAAACAAUUGUUGUAGACACAGAAUUUGGGGUUUGGGUUGCAGCUGCCAUAGUUCUCCCCAGCCUGGCUCUUUCUUGCCCGAGGAAGAGGGGAGGGUGGCAAACAAAAUGAGAUAUGCAAUGGAGAGCUGAAAAUCCUGAGCCCCCAGAACCUGGAACUCGAGAAAUAAUAUCACAGUGUUAAGAGAGAUAAGUCUUUUGAUCCUGUUGGCAAAAACUGAUGUUUCCCAGCUGGUCAGCCAGCUCUGGCAUCCUCCAGUCACAAUUGCAAUUGAAAAAUGACUGGAGAGCUGCUUCUGUGCUUAAGUCCUCACUGCCAGAUGUACAAUUACUGCCACUGAAAUAGCAAAAGAUGCUAGCUUGGGAACACAGUAGGCUCCAAGUAGCUUGAUUUGCUUUUCAUGGAUAAAAAAUGCAAUGUAAUAUCUUACCUCUAAGUCUUGACCAUGACUGAUAUAUCUCAGCUCUCAGCCAGUGCUGGUUGUGAUCUGUCCUAUGUCUUUGCUUGCUUCAAAUGGCUAAAAUAUAGAAGGUUUGUUGGUUCAUAUAAGAUUUUGGCUGGAGGGAGGUAGGAAGGGGCUAAGUAAUUUCUGAAGAUUUGGUUUUCCUCUCCUAGACCCAUGGCUUCCCUUCUUGGAAGCUUCUUAAUUAGAAUGAAAAUGGACUAAAUAUUUUAAGCAAAUCAGAAUUUCAAGAAGCUGUUACAGCAGUGCCUCAUGUUGAAGUGUGCACAGCACUGUGCACGUCGUCAUUGAAUAAUGAAUUAAUAAAUACCUUUGGAGGAUUUUUUUUAGCCCAGAAAGCAUA